rnacentral:rRNA from 1 species
UACGGGGGGGGCAAGCGUUGUUCGGAAUUACUGGGCGUAAAGGGCUCGUAGGCGGCCAACUAAGUCAUACGUGAAAUCCCUCGGCUUAACCGGGGAACUGCGUCUGAUACUGGAUGGCUUGAGAUUGGGAGAGGGAUGCGGAAUUCCAGGUGUAGUGGUGGAAUGCGUAGAGAUCCGGAGGAACACCAGCGGCGAAGGCGGCAUCCUGGACUGGAACUGACGCUGAGGCGCGAAAGCGUGGGGAGCAAACAGG